GACGAACGCUGGCGGCGUGCCUAAUACAUGCAAGUCGAACGCAGUGGGGAUGGGUGAGUAACACGUGGGUAACCUACGAUCAGAGGGGAUAAAACGUGGAAAAAGGUGCUAAAGCGAUACUGAAGGAUGGACCCGCGGUGCAUUAGCUAGUUGGUGAGGUAAGGGCUCACCAAUGCCACGAUGCAUAGCCGACCUGAGAGAUGGAUCGGCCAUUCUGGGACUGAGCCACGGCCCAGCCUCCUACGGGAGGCAGCAGUAGGGAAUCUUCGGCAAUGGACGAAAGUCUGACCGAGCAACGCCGCGUGAGUGAAGAAGGUUUUCGGAUCGUAAAACUCUGUUGUUAGAGAGGCGUUAUCUAACCAGAAAGCCACGGCUAACUACGUGCCAGCAGCCGCGGUAAUUC
rnacentral:rRNA from 1 species